UCAUAGCUCAGCAGGAUAGAGCGACGGUUUCCUAAACCGCAGGCCGGGGGUUCGAAUCCCUUUGGG
rnacentral:tRNA from 1 species